GACGAACGCUGGCGGCGUGCCUAACACAUGCAAGUCGAACGGAAAGGCCCUGCUCUUGUGGGGUGCUCGAGUGGCGAACGGGUGAGUAACACGUGAGUAACCCGCCCUUGUCUUUGGGAUAACUUCAGGAAACUGGGGCUCAUACCGGAUAGGAGAUCUUGCUGCAUGGUGGGGGUUGGAAAGUUUCGGCGGUGGGGGAUGGACUCGCGGCUUAUCAGCUUGUUGGUGGGGUAGUGGCUUACCAAGGCUUUGACGGGUAGCCGGCCUGAGAGGGUGACCGGCCACAUUGGGACUGAGAUACGGCGCAGACUCCUACGGGAGGCAGCGGUGGGGAGUAUUGCGCAAUGGGCGGAAGCCUGAUGCAGCAGCGCCGCGUGCGGGAUGACGGCCUUCGGGUUGUAAACCGCUUUCGCCUGUGACGAGGCGUGAGUGACGGUAAUGGGUAAAGAAGCACCGGCUAACUACGUG
rnacentral:rRNA from 1 species